GAUGAACGCUGGCGGCGUGCUUAACACAUGCAAGUCGAACGGAAAGGCCCAAGCUUGCUUGGGUACUCGAGUGGCGAACGGGUGAGUAACACGUGGGUGAUCUGCCCUGCACUUCGGGAUAAGCCUGGGAAACUGGGUCUAAUACCGGAUAGGACGAUGGUUUGGAUGCCAUUGUGGAAAGUUUUUUCGGUGUGGGAUGAGCUCGCGGCCUAUCAGCUUGUUGGUGGGGUAAUGGCCUACCAAGGCGUCGACGGGUAGCCGGCCUGAGAGGGUGUACGGCCACAUUGGGACUGAGAUACGGCCCAGACUCCUACGGGAGGCAGCAGUGGGGAAUAUUGCACAAUGUGCGCAAGCCUGAUGCAGCGACGCCGCGUGGGGGAUGACGGCCUUCGGGUUGUAAACUCCUUUCGCUAGGGACGAAGCGUUUUUGUGACGGUACCUGGAGAAGAAGCACCGGCUAACUACGUG
rnacentral:rRNA from 1 species